rfam:Spinacia oleracea cultivar SynViroflay scaffold11696.con0001.1, whole genome shotgun sequence.
AGCAAAAUGAUGAAAUCAGUUGAGCUGAAUUUCUUUUAUGUGGAAUUAUUUCAUCUGAAAUAUACCUUCAAAGUUCUCUGAUUGCU